ACACGAGCCGGACGCGGACAUGGUCUCGAAUGUGGACUGCACGGCACGCGGGGAAGUUGAGCUACAGCUCAACUUUGGCCCUUUUGGCCCCCAGUUUCCCGCCGUAAGCCGCUAAAACAAAUGAGCUUUGUUUGACGUCCUCCUCCUGCUUGUGCGGACUGCAUUCUAUUCCGGCCAUGCUAACCAUUCGCAAUGUGCAGCUGCCACGCGGUGCAAACUAGAAUGAACUAACGAACUUUUAACAUUUCCACAUUAAUUCAGCAGGACCGCUACAGUGGGAAAUGGCAGGCGAAUGCUCAUGUUUAUCUAACUAUUUAAAUAAUAAAAGUGUCUGGAAUAACAUGUGUCUGAAUCCAAUGAUUUUGUUGCAAACUUGCUUUAUAAAUAGUAUACUGUACAG
ensembl:ncRNA lncRNA:CR43793 long non-coding RNA:CR43793